ACAUAUAUCAUUUACUAGAUUUUCACUCUCAAAACCCUAAAUCUCAAUCUAAAGAAACUAAGCAUAAGUCGCAAGCAUUCCGGUCAAGCUUCGCCGGAGUCGAUCGAACUCCAGUUCAAGGUUUGCAGCAAUUGAAUGCAAAAAGUCUCAUAAGGUUUUGCUCAGUUGAUGCAAAAGUCUUUUCGCCUUUGUUGAAUUGUUAGCAGUAACUUGGAAACAAUGGGUGCUUGGACCAGUCAAAUUGAGUAAAGAAAAGUUGCUAAGGUUGGAGACUAAUCAUUGAAAAAAAAUCAUGUUAUCAGUUAUUUACCGUUAACAGUAAUAUAUCACUCUGUUUAUAUUUAUUUUAUUUAUAAACUUAUAAUUAAUGUAAAUCAAAAUUUUCUACCCGGGAAGUUCCCGGGUGAUAACCUAGUUCAAUUUAUAAACACUAA